rnacentral:misc_RNA from 1 species
AAGUCGUAACAAGGUUUCCGUAGGUGAACCUGCGGAAGGAUCAUUAACGAGUUAGGGUCUUCUAGGCCCGACCUCCCAACCCUUUGUUUACUGAACCAUUGUUGCUUCGGUGGGUCCGUCUCACGACCGCCGGGGGGAUUCCCCCCUGGCCCGCACCCGCCGAUAGCCCAACCCUUUAAAACCUUUUAUGAAUCGUGUCUUAAUGUCUAAAUUAUGAUUAAAAAUCAAAAAACAAAACUUUCAACAACGGAUCUCUUGGUUCUG